GUCCCAUCACCAGGGAUCAUUUAAAACCAAACUCGGAUGUGCACUAGGUUAAAUGAAAUGAUUUAUGUACACAGUCAUGUGCAGAAGGCAGUGUGGAGCCUUGCAUGAGCACCAAAAGAGAUUUCAUCUCAGGAGGCGCAAUCUCUACUGGGGCUGCUCUGUGCCUGCAGGGUGCUAUGGUUUUACAUUAGAAGUGCAAGAAAAAUUGAGAGCUAUGGCAGAGCCCACUUAGAAAGAAAAAGCUUCGAUGUGAUAGGAGGAAAAAAAUUCUUUCUUAGCUUGAAAUAUGCUCCCGCAUAAGAACACCAUACAAUGAAUAUCUGAAGAAUAUCAGAAGAA